rnacentral:rRNA from 1 species
GCGAGUGGCGAACGGGUGAGUAAUGUAUCGGAACGUACCUUUCAGUGGGGGAUAACGUAGCGAAAGUUACGCUAAUACCGCAUGUUCUGUGAGCAGGAAAGCAGGGGAUCGCAAGACCUUGCGCUGAUUGAGCGGCCGAUAUCAGAUUAGCUAGUUGGUGAGGUAAAGGCUCACCAAGGCGACGAUCUGUAGCGGGUCUGAGAGGAUGAUCCGCCACACUGGAACUGAGACACGGUCCAGACUCCUACGGGAGGCAGCAGUGGGGAAUUUUGGACAAUGGGGGCAACCCUGAUCCAGCCAUGCCGCGUGAGUGAAGAAGGCCUUCGGGUUGUAAAGCUCUUUCGGCCGGGAAGAAAUCGCAUGGGUUAAUACCCUGUGCGGAUGACGGUACCGGCAUAAGAAGCACCGGCUAACUACGUGCCAGCAGCCGCGGUAAUACGUAGGGUGCGAGCGUUAAUCGGAAUUACUGGGCGUAAAGCGUGCGCAGGCGGUUUUUUAAGACAGGCGUGAAAUCCCCGGGCUCAACCUGGGAACUGCGCUUGUGACUGGAAGGCUAGAGUAUGGCAGAGGGGGGUGGAAUUCCACGUGUAGCAGUGAAAUGCGUAGAGAUGUGGAGGAACACCAAUGGCGAAGGCAGCCCCCUGGGCCAAUACUGACGCUCAUGCACGAAAGCGUGGGUAGCAAACAGGAUUAGAUACCCUGGUAGUCCACGCCCUAAACGAUGUCAACUAGGUGUUGGGUGGGUAAAACCAUUUAGUACCGGAGCUAACGCGUGAAGUUGACCGCCUGGGGAGUACGGCCGCAAGGUUAAAACUCAAAGGAAUUGACGGGGACCCGCACAAGCGGUGGAUGAUGUGGAUUAAUUCGAUGCAACGCGAAAGACCUUACCUACCCUUGACAUGUCCAGGAGCCUGGAGAGAUUUGGGUGUGCCCGAAAGGGGACUGGAACACAGGUGCUGCAUGGCUGUCGUCAGCUCGUGUCGUGAGAUGUUGGGUUAAGUCCCGCAACGAGCGCAACCCUUGUCGUUAAUUGCCAUCAUUUAGUUGGGCACUUUAACGAGACUGCCGGUGACAAACCGGAGGAAGGUGGGGAUGACGUCAAGUCCUCAUGGCCCUUAUGGGUAGGGCUUCACACGUCAUACAAUGGUCGGUACAAAGGGUUGCCAAGCCGCGAGGUGGAGCCAAUCCCAGAAAGCCGAUCGUAGUCCGGAUCGCAGGCUGCAACUCGCCUGCGUGAAGUCGGAAUCGCUAGUAAUCGUGGAUCAGCAUGUCACGGUGAAUACGUUCCCGGGUCUUGUACACACCGCCCGUCACACCAUGGGAGCGGGUUCCGCCAGAAGUAGGUAGCCUAACCGCAAGGAGGGCGCUUACCACGGCGGGGUUCGUGACUGGGGUGAAGUCGGAA